UUUUCUUAUGUCACCUGUGAGAAGUUGGGUAGAAGUCUGGCCCCUGCAGACAGUGUGACUGUCGUCAAUUUACAGGGAGCAGUCCUCCUCAAAUCUUCAAUUUGCUCUUCCUCGUUUUCCACUCCUCUGCAUCUAGCCCAGUGAAAUGCAAGUGGGUGUGAUGUGACUUACUGUUGAGCCAAGGAUCUGGAAAUCUGUCAAACCCUCUCUUGCGUCAGGACCUUUGCACAUGCCUGUGUCUCUAUCAAGAAUGUUCCUCGCUCAGAUACCUGGUGGCGGCCAUGAUGAAGAAGAGACUUUGGAGCCUGUGGGACUGCCUACCGCAAGAAGGACAUGAGGAUGGUGC